AUCAAGUUAAACUUGUUCUACAAAAGUACAUUUCUAUCCUAUCCUAUCAUACUCAGUGAAAGAUGACUGUACCUGAUCAUGAUUGGCUGCAUAUCAAAUACAGAGAAGGUAUAAAUAAUGAGGAAAAAGCUGGAGACACACCAACAUCUCUUGGAUGCUGCUGGCAGAACCACACCUGAACCAUUCAACUGGGUAAGAAUAUCUGAGUUUAUGUUUACACUAUUAUUAUUUUGUUUUCUGUUACAAUAGUAAUGGAUUUGUGAGAAACAAAGUAAAGAUCCAAGACUAUCAUAUGUUUUAACAAACAUCAUUUGUCAAUUUCGGUCCUUUUUGCCUAUUUUCAGAAAUUUCUUUCUUAAAUAUUUGUUUUAGGAAGGCACAUAACACUGAACCAAUUAAUAUUUAGGGAAUAUUUAGUAACCUUUGUGUUCUUUAAAACAAAAACAGUGUUGGUAGCCCGGUAAGGGUUAAAUUCAGAUGUACUGUAUCCGUAAAAAGGUUUUGAGUCCAAUUCUGAGGUUUCUCUCUGUGCUUCCAGGAAACAGCUGGACUCGGCCUGUACGUCUUUGACUCAAGUCACUCUGUUUGACACGUAAACUGCUGCAAAACAUGGCCAACAUCAUGCCACAGGAAUUUGAAUACACUGAUGGUGCUUCAAAAGCACGAAAACAAAGAGAACGGGCCCAACAAAUGGAAGAGAACCCAGAAACUCUUUAUACAUAUGGAAACAGUCUCGUGUUUCACACUGAAGAUCCAGAAAUCUGGAGAGAGAGUUUAACAGAGGAAUUUGGAAGAAACCCUGAAACAACUGACAGUUACUAUAUAUGGAAAACAAACGAUGCAGGCACCAUUCAGUUAUAUCGUAAAACCAAGAAGUGUGUGAUAUAUGGGAAGGAUGAAAAAAGACAAGGAUUUUUAAACAGGUUUGGAGCGCUUUUGGAUCGUGUUGGAAACAUCCGGAAUCGAACAAAUAACACAAAUUAGACAACAAGUUGACAGCCAGUGACGACAAAAACAACCCCCCUUAAGAUAAUUGUAGAGAUAAAAAAACACUUAAAUAAAAUAUCAGGGAAUUUCGGGCUAUUAAGGUGCGUUCACAUUGAGCGUGAAUAAUCUGAGCCAAGCAACAGAUUUACAUGGUAUACAGGUGCGAUGCGUCACAAAGCGGCUCUAAGCGAAGCCACAGAGGCAAUUCUAGCGACACAAUUGUUGA